rnacentral:rRNA from 1 species
CCUACGGGAGGCAGCAGUAGGGAAUAUUGCUCAAUGGGGGAAACCCUGAAGCAGCAACGCCGCGUGGAGGAUGAAGGUUUUCGGAUUGUAAACUCCUUUUGUUAGAGAAGAUAAUGACGGUAUCUAACGAAUAAGCACCGGCUAACUCCGUGCCAGCAGCCGCGGUAAUACGGAGGGUGCAAGCGUUACUCGGAAUAACUGGGCGUAAAGAGCGCGUAGGCGGGAUAGCAAGUCAGAUGUGAAAUCCUAUGGCUUAACCAUAGAACUGCAUUUGAAACUGUUAUUCUAGAGUAUGGGAGAGGUAGGUGGAAUUCUUGGUGUAGGGGUAAAAUGCGUAGAGAUCAAGAGGAAUACUCAUUGCGAAGGCGACCUGCUAGAACAUAACUGACGCUGAUGCGCGAAAGCGUGGGGAGCAAACAGGAUUAGAUACCCCAGUAGUC